UACGUAGGGUGCGAGCGUUGUCCGGAAUUAUUGGGCGUAAAGAGCUCGUAGGCGGUGUGUCACGUCGGCCGUGAAAACCUGCAGCUUAACUGUGGGCGUGCGGUCGAUACGGGCAUCACUGGAGUUCGGCAGGGGAGACUGGAAUUCCUGGUGUAGCGGUGAAAUGCGUAGAUAUCGGGAGGAACACCUGUGGCGAAGGCGGCCCCCUGGUUGGAUACUGACGCUGAUACGCGAAAGCGUGGGGAGCAAACAGG
rnacentral:rRNA from 1 species